rnacentral:rRNA from 1 species
ACGCUCGACACCUACAGGAGGCAGCAGUGGGGAAUAUUGCACAAUGGGGGAAACCCUGAUGCAGCGACGCCGCGUGAGCGAAGAAGUAUUUCGGUAUGUAAAGCUCUAUCAGCAGGGAAGAAACUGACGGUACCUGACUAAGAAGCACCGGCUAAAUACGUGCCAUCAGCCGCGGUAAUCUGAGCGGGCUGGCAAGGC